GUGCCAGCCGCCGCGGUAAUACGUAGGAUCCGAGCGUUGUCCGGAUUUACUGGGUGUAAAGGGCGUGUAGGUGGGUUCUUAAGUCGGUGGUGAAAUCUUGCAGCUCAACUGCAAAACUGCCAUUGAUACUGGGAAUCUUGAGUACGGCAGAGGGAGAUGGAAUUCAUGGUGUAGCGGUGAAAUGUGUAGAUAUCAUGAAGAACACCGGUAGCGAAGGCGGUCUCCUGGUCCGUAACUGACACUGAGGCGCGAAAGCGUGGGGAGCAAACAGGAUUAGAUACCCGCGUAGUCC
rnacentral:rRNA from 1 species